rnacentral:sRNA from 1 species
UGGUUCCUAAAGCAGCACACUCAGUUAAAGAGGAUGACCUCCCCAAAACACAGGAGGACUUGUCUUUUUAGGUCAAGGAUAUAGGAGAAACUGCUUUUCUGAUAGAACCUCCAGACAAGCUCUUUAAGGUAUUUAGAUAUUUUUAUGGCAGUAAAGA